ensembl:lncRNA
GUUUUUCUGAGUUCUUCUUCACUCCCCCAGACCAUUAUUUAUAGUAAGCAUAAACGUAAUGUGCUCAGCUUUUUCAACUGUCAAGUAAGGGAUAUUCUAUCUCUUGGUAAGAACUGCAAAGGCAAAUGCUGUUUACAUCUGAAGAGUCCCAGUUCUUUAAAUUAGGAUUAUUAUCAAGCAUUCAAAGGAUAACAUGCUCUAAGAAGCUUAGGCAGAAAUGUAACGCUGCCUGGAAUGUUGAAAGCACUUGUUAAAAUGUGUGAGCAAGCUGUCUCCAAGGCAUAACAUCCAUCUUUUAUAUGCAGGCUGUUUGGUGUGAUGUUGAUUUUGCCCACUGCUAUAUUAAGGGCUCGCUGCAGUUUGAAGUGUGUGAUAUAGCUACGAUUAGCUACAGUGAAAAAAUGCAUCCAAAUGUGUCAUCUGAGCUGCUGCAGUCCUGCUACGAUGAGGUCAGUGGAAAAGAUGGACCCUGAAUAUAUGCAAACCAUCUGUACUUGGAUUUGUGAAUGAAGGAGAUGUUUAUCUGUGUAUAAAGAAGGCAUCCAGUAAAAAGACAGUUCUUUUAAGGAGAGGGAUGUAAUUUUAGCACAGUUGCCACAGAAAUGCCCAGGACUGAAUUCAGCCAUGGCUGUGCUGGGAGAUGUCUUGCUGGAUUUAAUGCUGUUACGGGAGCCACGUGAAGAAAGCCUGGCAGGCUUCUGCUAAUUGCAUCUGCAGAAGGUGAGACAAAUAGCAAUGAAUACAAGCACCCAUUAAGUGCAG